AACAUCUUUAUUUGUAACAUUCAUUUGACAAUACAAUUUAAACAUUGAUAAUUUGCAGUGAAAACAAACUCACCUCCCUUGAUUGUCUAAGGCAGCUUUAGCCAAUAGUGGUACUACAGAGUUAAACACUAAAACAUGUCUGAAUUCCCAACAGUACAAACUACCUAUUUAGGUCUUAACACCAUCAGAUUCUAAAUGGCAAUGUUUUCAGUUACAGGGUCACCUAGACCGCUUCAUCGAGAUUAAGGAGACUUUAUAGGCAGACAACUUAAUCUACAAUUCAAAUGUUUGUCUAGCCUUCAGGAUUCUCAAAAACUAUGGACAUCUACGGUUCCAAACUGCCAGAAUUCUUUAUUAAUAUAAAAAUUAUAAGUCUCCAAUUAAGUGGAUGGAACAUUACAUUUUGGAUAUAGCAUGUACCACAGUGGAAGUGCUUGGAUGAUGCCUUGGGCUUAUAUGGUCAGAUAGCUGUACAGUGUUUACUUCUUGAUAAACUACAUGGUAGGGGGAUACUAAAGCAAUAUCUACAAAACAUGUCAAUACUAGUGUCUACAGACUAAUAUUGAACAUUAGUUUUGCCUGCUAUAGUGGUUCUGGCAUCAGUAAAGGCACUGCCAGACAAAUUUGUCAAGACAUAGAACAUUGACAACUUGCCAAAGCACUAAACAAUGCCCUUUAUUGGAUGAGCCAAGUUCAGAAAAAAAACUGGCUUAUCCUGCAGGCAAUGACUGAAAAUAGUGCAGGCAUCAAGGGGGGACCAAAGGAAGUUAUCAGAAAGUUUUAAAACAGUUUGACAGAUUACUCUAGGAUAGCACGAUAACCACUACUGCUGUACCAGUUGUGUUUUGAGUGUUCCUCUAACAAAGCAGGCUUUGCAAUUUAAACUGUCAGUUGCAGAACAGUAAACAAAAGAAUAACUUUCUGUAUUAUACUUAACUGCACCACUGAGUCAGCUCCAGCUUCCUGUAAAACAAAAAACAAACAUUUAUCUCACAUGUGCCUCUUAGCACAGUUUCAAUAGAGCUAUUUGAAAACAACUUCCCUAGUCUGCCAAAAGGCAGAUUAAAUUUGCUUAGUUAUCCUCAUUCCUUAAGGUAGAUGGCCAGCCCCAUUCAGAGAGUACUCCCCAUGAUGUUAAACUGUACAAAAAUUAACCAGAGUUAAGAUGUCUGGACUCUGGGCACAACACUGUAGUGACAUUAACUGGUUUUGGAGGACCUUCAAAAUUGUAGAACUUCAGAUCUACAUACAGCAGAAAGCUGGUAAUCAGUCUGAGAAGCACUGGAUUCAACGAUUCUCUGAAAGUGCCAGACCAUGGCAACAGCCAUGCAUGUGUUACCGGUACCCAGAGAUUCUCUACACAUUGGACAGAGGUCAGAAACUGACAGUUACUGACUAAGCACUGUUACUUAACCAUUUUAAAACCAAGUUGGUAUAAUCAGAUUAAAAUAAAUUUAUAUCCUUCAAAUUUUGAAGGCUUCUCAUGCUCCAAAUAGAGCAGAGACAAACACGAGUUAAAGGAACACUAUAUAGCCUCAGGAAUAAUAUUCCUG
rnacentral:lncRNA from 1 species